UGUUUUGAUAUUCAGCUGGAGGAUUUGACCAGUAGAAUUCUAUGGCCUUUAUCCAUCUAUGACUCGUCUGCUGUGUCUACUGAUCAUCAUGGACUGGGGUCUAUUGACAGUGGGUGAGGUCAUUAAAAUAGUUGUGAUUCCACAACUAGAAAGGUAAUUCGCGCAACUUCUAUUCUAAGUCUGCAAAAGAUCUGCAUCAAGGACUUUAGGAUGAAGUCUCUUGAUAAGGGAUGCUUUUCUUUAUUUGGACGAGCUUUCCGAGCGCAGCUGCUUAGCAGGUGUUUUUCAAGUUCUUACAGAUUGUAUGUGUCAUUUUCCACUAGUUUUAUUUGAUGGUCUCACGUAGUU
rnacentral:misc_RNA from 1 species